CGGUGGCCACGCCCAAAGAGGAGGCCAAGAAGGGAAGGAAGGCAAAAAGUAAGAGGAGUGGCAAGAAGUCAAGGAAGCUGGGCACUGACAACGAUGCAGUCUCCAGGAAUAAACACCUGGAUAGAGGAUCUGUAAUUGAGCUCCUGGAGAAGAAAGCUGUUCAGGCUGCAUU